rnacentral:rRNA from 1 species
UUUUGGACAAUGGGGGCAACCCUGAUCCAGCCAUUCCGCGUGAGUGAAGAAGGCCUUCGGGUUGUAAAGCUCUUUUGUCAGGGAAGAAACACCGGCUCUAACACAGUCCGGGAAUGACGGUACCUGAAGAAUAAGCACCGGCUAACUACGUGCCAGCAGCCGCGGUAAUACGUAGGGUGCAAGCGUUAAUCGGAAUUACUGGGCGUAAAGCGUGCGCAGGCGGUUAUACAAGACAGGCGUGAAAUCCCCGGGCUUAACCUGGGAAUGGCGCCUGUGACUGUAUAGCUAGAGUGUGUCAGAGGGGGGUAGAAUUCCACGUGUAGCAGUGAAAUGCGUAGAUAUGUGGAGGAAUACCAAUGGCGAAGGCAGCCCCCUGGGAUAACACUGACGCUCAUGCACGAA